rnacentral:rRNA from 1 species
AACCUGGUUGAUCCUGCCAGUAGUCAUAUGCUUGUCUCAAAGACUAAGCCAUGCAUGUCUAAGUAUAAGUGUUAUACAGCGAAACUGCGAAUGGCUCAUUAAAACAGUUAUAGUUUAUUUGAUAAUCGAAUUUACAUGGAUAACCGUGGUAAUUCUAGAGCUAAUACAUGCUGGUGUGCCCGACUUUUGCGGAAGGGUGGUAUUUAUUAGAUAACAAGCCAAUAUUCCUCUGGUCUAUUGUGGUGACUCAUAAUAACUGAUCGAAUCGCAAGGCCUAUGGCCGCGAUAAGUCAUUCAAGUUUCUGCCCCAUCAGCUUUCGAUGGUAGUGUAUUGGACUACCAUGGCGUUUACGGGUAACGGAGGAUUAGGGUUCGAUUCCGGAGAGGGAGCCUGAGAAACGGCUACCACAUCUAAGGAAGGCAGCAGGCGCGUAAAUUACCCAAUCCUGACUCAGGGAGGUAGUGACAAGAAAUAACGGACCGGGACCUUCUGGUCGUCGGGAUUGCAAUGAGCCGAAUUUACACCCCUUAGCGAGGACCGAUUGGAGGGCAAGUCUGGUGCCAGCAGCCGCGGUAAUUCCAGCUCCAAUAGC